rnacentral:tmRNA from 1 species
GGGGGUGAACAGGCCUCGACUUAGAGUCAGAGUGAAGGGCAGCAUGCCAGAGGGUAGACCUGCUGUGAAAGGCCUACAAAAACACAAACGCAACACCAAGAUUAGGUGUAGUUGCAAUGCCUGCGUUUAGUGUAAACUAAACACAGGUACGCUCUUGCAUUACCAUGCCUCGGGGUGUGUAAGGGCUCGUUUACGAGGCUAAGAACACCUUCUUAACCCUGGGUUGGUGUUACGAAAACCUUUCAGGGUUGCGCCCUAAGAAAUCCUGUCUUUCGGAGCUUUUAGGGCUAAGAUAAAAGAAAGACUAAGCAUGUAGCGGCUCUUUGUGAAAGCUUUAAGGACUCCGGUUCGAUUCCGGACACCUCCACCA